rnacentral:rRNA from 1 species
AUUGAACGCUGGCGGCAGGCCUAACACAUGCAAGUCGAGCGAGUGGCGGACGGGUGAGUAAUGCUUGGGAAUCUAGCUUAUGGAGGGGGAUAACUACGGGAAACUGUAGCUAAUACCGCGUACCAUAGGAUGAGCCCAAGUGGGAUUAGGUUGUUGGUGAGGGAAAGGCUAACCAAGCCGACGAUCUCUAGCUGGUCUGAGAGGAGGCACAGCCACACUGGGACUGAGACACGGCCCAGACUCCUACGGGAGGCAGCAGUGGGGAAUAUUGCGCAAUGGGCGCAACCCUGACACAGCCAUGCCGCGUGAAUGAAGAAGGCCUUCGGGUUGUAAAGUACUUUCAGUCGGGAGGCGUUACCGACAGAAGAAGCACCGGCUAACUCCGUGCCAGCAGCCGCGGUAAUUC